CAAUAGCGUAUAUUAAAGUUGUUGCAGUUAAAAAGCUCGUAGUUGGAUUUCUGGUCGGAAGCUCCUGUCCUCUGAUGAGCGUACAAGUGCGUCCUACCAUCCUUCUGUUAACCUUUAAGGCUUUCGCGGCUUUCUAGGGGCUCAGAUAUUUUACCUUGGGAAAAUUAGAGUGUUUCAGGCAGGCUAGCGCCGGAAUACAUUAGCAUGGAAUAAUGGAAUAGGACUUUUGCCUCUUCUGUUGGUCAUGAGGCUCGAGUAAUGAUUAAUAGGGAUAGUUGGGGGCAUUAGUACUUAACUGUCAGAGGUGAAAUUCUCGGAUUUGUUAAAGACUAACUUAUGCGAAANCANNNGCCAAGGAUGUUUUCAUNAA
rnacentral:rRNA from 1 species